AGAGGAGCCAGAGGAGAGCGCAGUUUGCUCAGAUGUGAAAAUAAGAUCAGCUACAGACGACAAUGUGAUGUAUGCCCAGGUGAACUUUCACAAUAAAGCCAAGAAAGACAAAGAUCAAUAAAGAGAUCUGCAUAGACAAAACCAGCAGAAUGGAUGACAACAUGAAUAACUGCAGUAGUGUUUAACUCAAUGACAGAAAAGGGGUCUCUUAAAGGAAAAUGGCCACUUUGAAAAUACAGACAGUACUUACUGACCCUCAUGCCAACAAGAAGUCCAGUGUAGUUUUUUAAUCCACAAAACUCGUACAGGGUAUCGGAGGAUGACGGGCUGCCACAGCUUCAGGGCACUUGGAUUAUGACGGAUGAGCCAUUCUGACGUUUU